rnacentral:rRNA from 1 species
UACAGAGGCCUCAAGCGUUAGGCGGAAUCACUGGGCUUAAAGCGUGUGUAGGUGGAUGCCUAAGUACCUUGUGAAAUCCCACGGCUUAACCAUGGAAUUGCUUGGUAUACUGGGUGUCUUGAGCCACUCAGGGGCUACCGGAACAAACGGUGGAGCGGUGAAAUGCGUAGAUAUCGUUUGGAACGCCAAUGGUGAAAACAGGUAGCUGGGGGUGUGCUGACACUGAGACACGAAAGCCAGGGGAGCAAACAGG